UACGUAGAUGACCUGCCUUAAAGUGGGGGAUAACUACUGGAAACGGUGGCUAAUACCGCAUAGAGCUGUGACCGUUGGAAGGUUGCAGGGAAAGCUCCGGCGCUUAGAGAGGGGUCUACGUCCGAUUAGCUAGUUGGUGGGGUAAAGGCCUACCAAGGCGACGAUCGGUAGCUGGUCUGAGAGGACGAUCAGCCACACGGGAACUGAGACACGGUCCCGACUCCUACGGGGGGCAGCAGCGAGGAAUAUUGGGCAAUGGGCGAAAGCCUGACCCAGCAACGCCGCGUGAAGGAAGAAGGCCUUUGGGUUGUAAACUUCCUUUGUAGGGGAAGAGAGAGGACGGUACCCUACGAAUAAGUCACGGCUAACUACGUGCCAGCAGCCGCGGUAAUACGUAGGUGACAAGCGUUAUCCGGAAUUAUUGGGCGUAAAGCGCACGCAGGCGGCGUACUAAGUCUGACGUGAAAUCUCCCGGCUUAACUGGGAGGGGACGUUGGAGACUGGUAGGCUCGAGGGAGUGAGAGGGGUGUGGAAUUCCCAGUGUAGUGGUGGAAUACGUAGAUAUUGGGAGGAACACCAGUGGCGAAAGCGGCACCCUGGCACUGACCUGACGCUCAGGUGCGAAAGCGUGGGUAGCGAACGGGAUUAGAUACCCCGGUAGUCCACGCUGUAAACGAUGAGUACUAGGUGUGGGUGGAGUCAAAUCUAUCUGUACCGAAGCAAACGCCCUAAGUACUCCGCCUGGGGAGUACGGCCGCAAGGCUAAACUCAAAGGAAUUGAC
rnacentral:rRNA from 1 species